rnacentral:rRNA from 1 species
AGAGUUUGAUCCUGGCUCAGAACGAAUGCUGGUAGCGUGGAUUAGGCAUGCAAGUCGAACGGGAUCACUUGGAUAGCAAUAUUCGGGUGUGAGAGUGGCGGAUUGGGGAGGAACACGUGAACAACCUGCCUUUGAGUUCGGGAAAACCGUUGGAAACGACGGCUAAUACCGGAUGUGGCGCCUGACGACAUCGUCGGAGCGCUAAAGGGGGCCGCAAGGCUCUCGCUCUUAGAGGGGUUCGCGCACCAUCAGCUUGUUGGCGGGGUAACGGCCCACCAAGGCAUACGGUUAGCUGGUCUGAGAGGAUGACCAGCCCCACUGGGACUGAGAUACUGCCCAGACUCCUACGGGAGGCUGCAGUCGAGGAUCAUUUGCAAUGGGCGAAAGCCUGACAAUGCGACGCUGCGUGGAGGAUGAAGGCCUUCGGGUUGUAAACUCCUGUCAUAAGGGAACAGGCGAGGGUGGCCAAUACCCACCUUAGUUGAGUGUACUCUAAGAGGAAGCGACGGCUAACUCUGUGCCAGCAGCCGCGGUAAUACAGAGGUCGCAAGCGUUGUUCGGAUUUACUGGGCGUAAAGGGCGCGUAGGCGGCGAGGUGUGUCAAGUGUGAAAUCUCCGGGCUCAACCCGGAAAGUGCGCUUGAAACUGCCUUGCGCGAGUCCGGGAGAGGGAAUCGGAAUGCAGGGUGUAGCGGUGAAAUGCGUUGAUAUCCUGCAGAGCACCGGAGGCGGAGGCGGAUUCCUGGAACGGUACUGACGCUGAGGCGCGAAAGUCGGGGGAGCAAACAGGAUUAGAUACCCUGGUAGUCCCGACCUUAAACG